rnacentral:lncRNA from 1 species
AUGUAUGUAUGUGUGCAUGUACACACGCACGUAUACAUUUUAACUUAUAACAUACAAAAUUUGUAUAUUAUAUUUUUAAGGAUUUACUAUAAAGUACACCGAGAUGAAAUGAGAAGCUUUUGUGUUGAAAUAGAAGAUACAUCUGUUGAUAUAGAUAUAAAUAUAUUUAUGGACAUGAUAAGAAAAGAAUUGACAAUUGAUAAAAAUAGUAUAAAAAAUCCAGUUUUUAGUAUUUUUGAAAAACCUUCAAUUCCGUUUACUCCAGAUAAUAAAUACAACUCAAUUAGCUACGGACGAAUGGCAUAUUUUUUAGUAUUCGAUCUUACAAAUGAAGAAACAUUUGAAUAUGUUAAGACAAUUUAUUUAAACAUGUCAAAUAUUUAUGAUAAAUAUUAUUCUCUAAAGCCGUUUAUAUCUCUUGUUGGAAAUAAAUCAGAUUUGGUAAAAGAAGAUUGUGAAUUAGUUAGGCAAGCAGAACACUUCGCGACCGAACACUUGGUACAAUUAUGGCUCGUAUCAUCGCUUACAGGGAAAAAUGUUAAGAAGUUAUUCUUACAUAUGGUUAACAUGGUUUUCAAUAACACGAAUUUGUGGAAAUACGAUAUGGAAGAUGUAAUAUAUACAUAUACAUGUAUUUACGUUUACACAUAUAUAUAUAUUUACAUGUACAUAUAUGAAUGAAUAAACAUUUCCUCCCCCCCAUUCUUUUCUUUUUUCAGUCUGGAUCCGAAUCUUCAGAAAAUUAAAAUUAAAAAAAAAUAAAAUAAAAUAAAAACCUAAGCA